UACGAAGGGGGCUAGCGUUGCUCGGAAUCACUGGGCGUAAAGGGUGCGUAGGCGGGUCUUUAAGUCAGGGGUGAAAUCCUGGAGCUCAACUCCAGAACUGCCUUUGAUACUGAAGAUCUUGAGUUCGGGAGAGGUGAGUGGAACUGCGAGUGUAGAGGUGAAAUUCGUAGAUAUUCGCAAGAACACCAGUGGCGAAGGCGGCUCACUGGCCCGAUACUGACGCUGAGGAGCGAAAGCCAGGGGAGCAAAGCGGG
rnacentral:rRNA from 1 species